rnacentral:tRNA from 1 species
CGGGAUGUGGCUCAAGUGGUAGUGCGCUCGCCUAGCAUGCGUGAGGCACUGGGUUCAAUUCUCAGCAUCACGU